ensembl:lncRNA
GUUUCCUCCCACAGCACAAAGACAUGCAUGGUAGGCUGAUUGGCAUAUCCAAAGUGUCCGUAGUGUAUGAAUGGGUGUGUGCAUGGGUGUGCGUGUGUAUGUGAUUCUGCCCUGCGAUGGAUUGGCACCCCGUCCAGGGUGUACCCCGCCUUGUGACCGAUGCUCCCUGGGAUAGACUCCAGGUUCCCUGUGACCCUGAAGGAUAAGCGGUAUAGAAGAUGGAUGGACUUUCACUCACUUUCAGUCAGCACUUUAUCCUGGUCUGGGUCACAAUCCCGGGAAAACUCUGCGUGAGGUGGGAAUACACCCUGGAUGAGACUCAUUCACACCUAGGGUACAUUUAACAUAGCUAAUCUACCUACUGGUAUGUUUUGGGGAUGUGGGAGGAAACCGGAGAACCCGGAGGAAACCCACAUGGAAUGUUCAAACCUCCAGUGACCUGAGCUCAGGAUCAAAUUGGGGAUCCUGAAGCUGUGAGACAACAAAUCUACUUAAAAAAUCCAGGAAGGCUACGGUAACACAAAUAACCAGUCUGUACAACCGUGGUGAGUAGAAAAGCAUCUCAGAACUCCUGUCGGCCAAGAACAGGAAUCUGAGGCUACAGUGGGCACAAAAACCGGACGGUUAAAGCUGGGAAAAAGACCAGGCGACAUAAAACUUGUGAUUGCAUAUGAGAAACUAAAUAAUUUUGGAAUGAGCAGCAAACUUUUGCUUGCUAAUGAAGAAAUGCGUCAGGGGUUCCCCAACUAGGGAUCGCUUGAAUUGUAAAUGGGGUCACGAGAGACGCACAAUCUUGUAUUUUAUUCACCUAUUUUACAGAUCAAUAUUAGAAAAAAUCAAAGGCUUAUGUUGUGUGCUAGUAUUUUAAAUGUUACUGGAGGAAACAUUCAGACAUAGGAAAUGAAUUUAAGUGAAUAGUGAACGUGUUAUUUUUGGUCUUUUUUCACUAUCCUGACACACUGCACUUGUGCAGUUCAGCGAUUAAAAAUGGACAAAUCUAAUCCGUCCAUCUACCUCAACCUACAUCUACCAAACUAGCACUGUGUCUCAAAUCGCAUACUUAUGUACUAUUCUAGAUUGUUCGUGAGUGCUAAUACUGACCUGUUUUUCUGUUCCAGUUAGUGUUUGGGAAAAAAAAACAAACAAUAAAACUUCUCAUGAGCUAACAAAAGAUCAUUUUGCAUACCAGCUUUCAGGAUUUUUUAAAAAUUAGUAAAUAUAUUCGAAGUUACUUUAACAGUAUGUUAGUUAAAGGGUGUGCACACACUUGUGUAACCAAGUUACUGUAAUUUUUUCCUUUUUCUUUUUUUUGUUCACCUGAAAUGUUUCUACUUGUUUUUUUUGCUUGAAUUUUGUCGCUUGGUAUUUCACAUUAAAGGUAGGAAAAGAUCUGACAUGAUUUAAGUUGGUUUAAUUUUUUAAUAUAACUAAGACCUGCAAUUUUAACAGGGGUGUGUAGAUUUUCUGUUAUCCACUAUAUUACUUUAAAAAUCACUGCUGCAUUUUAUUGUAUAGUAAUUUAAGAUCUUUGUGUUUAUGUCGACGUGUAUAUAUCUAUCUAUCUA